GUACAGUUUUAAGCAUAAGUGUGGUAAAAACACAUGUUUAGUAGAUUUUCUAAGAGAAAAUAAGUUACUACAUUCUUUGUACAGAACACACUAAAUAUGGCACUUUUUCUGCACAUUGUAGGGCGUAAUAUCUAUUUAUUUGCUGCACUGAAAUUUUGGAAAAAUUUGUUUCCAGUAAUCAGUUUUAAUUCAAUUCUAGUUUAAAGAGAUAAGUUUUUAGGUGCUUCUUAAAAGUGAGCACUGAGCUUGACUGUCUAAUAAGUGGUAGUAUUGAAUUUCACAAAUUAGAUGCUUAAUAACUGAAAGAGGCCUCUAAGUUUUUUCUGUAUUUUACAGAGGGUAUUUGUAGAAGGCCACUAUCUACAGAUAAGUCUAAUGUCAAAUACUGUGAUCUUACAUAUUUGACAUAUCAUCCACCAUUUAAUGGAGGUCACAUGACAUGAGCCCUGUGAACUGAAUCGACAUAGAAUUCAGGCAGGGCUGGGUUGCUCUUCCUGAAGGAGUGAAAGCAGAAGGAGACCGACUACACUUCCUGAAAUCGACCCCUGACCUCAAUGGCCUCUACAUCUGUAUAGCAGAGAAUGAGCUUGGAACUGCAGCAGGUUCACUGUAUCGAUAUAAUAGACGCACAUGACGAGCUUUGAAGAGGAGAGGCGGGAAUGGGCUCUACCAGAAGAUAUUUCUCUACCUGAAGUGAAAUUUGCACUUUCCUUCAAAUUAUAGUAUUACAGUAAAUGGUUUAGCAUUUCUGUUUAUUUAACCAAACUUUACACAAUGGUAAAAAAAUAAAACAUGUUUUAACAUUUGCACAGGCCAGAGUUUGUGUUUCUCAAUAUGCUAAAUUCAGACAAUAAAUAGUAAUUUUGCAUAAAAAUGUACAGAUGUGUGUUCUUUUUUCAGACUAGUUUGACCAUACAGGUUGAUAGCAAUGACAUUUUGCCAAACAAGCGAUAUGCAUAAUGUGUUUGCCGCUGUGAUUUGUAAACGUCUUGGAAGAAUCAUAGCAGAAAA